CAGCCACUGAGCGUUUAGCUUGAAUCUUUACGCAGCUUCUACAGUCUUCCCAAGCAGGAAGCCCCAUCCUUCUUCUCUUCCUCAUGAAAGUCCAAUCCAUUUUGACGCCAUAAAAACUUCACAGCGACGGAUCCCGCUGGCAGAAUAUCAAGCUCCACUCAGCAAAACUCUCCAAAGCACGAUUAUUAUCGCUCAGGCCAAUGAACUACUGCCAUGUGAUGCCACUGUCUUUUGGCUAAUGCUGCCCCAUUGCCAGUAUGGUGUAUACAGUGGAGUGCAGCCACAGUACUCAUAUGUACUGUUUUACUGGAGCAAUUAAAGUUCUGCAUAUUACUCAAGAGUAGAACGUAAGCCAGCAAAAUUCAGGUUACAUGUUCUGAUUAACCACCACUCCCCCUGCUGGCCUGUCGUCCAGAAUAAAUUUGCUAGAUGAAGGAGGGUGAUUUAGCAAACAUGAUUAUCCGAAUGACCCAAACAGCACACGCAUGUGGUUUUUGUUGAACGCUGGUUUUUGCCAGACCGUGUGCUGUGUUCUUAGCGGUCCACGGGCUCUGCCUCCGGCUCUCUACUUGACAUAUAACCAACAUGUGAUCAUCUGUAAUAUGCAGAAGUUUAACUCCAAGCCCGGUGGCUGAAGAAAGGUACUACAUCCCACACACACACACACACACACACACACACACACACACACACACACACAACAUAAUUAAAAACUAAAGGGAAUUAAAAAAAUUAUAAAGUAAUGAAUCAAACAGCUUCAUAUGAGGCGAGUCAGAAAGUUGACAGGGUGCUGGGAUUAGGACUGCAGACUGGGACACUGUUAGUCGAAUCCCAGGAAGUCACAGCACAAUGUUGUGUCUUCUGGGGACACAGACUUGUCCCAUAACUAGAAGGCAAAGGCUGGGUUACGCAGCAAAGGGCAGGAUCUGGCUCACAUAGCUAGGGGAGACGUUUGAGACACCGGAGACGUUACGGGGGCUGAAAGGAUCUCCCUGAGACCUGAGAUGAAGGCCAGGUUGUGGCAGGUCACUGGCUGGCUGGGACGGCUGUCCAGCUCCAGGGCCAGGCUGCAGCUUCAGAGGGACUGGAAGGUGGGGCGGCCUUUCCAGCUCCACCAGGAAGCGAGGAUGAGGAUGGGAAGGUGAGGAAGCAGAGAACACUGGACAAUGGACUGGCAAAAAGGGAGAGGAGAGGUGAGCUUUGAGGUUCAACCAAGGCCAGGACUGGCUGGGGUACGAUGGGUCACAACACACACUGCCUGGAUCCGACCAAUCGAUUUACAUCCCCAUCUUCUGCAGACUCCACAUCCCAUCCUGACAGCAUCCUCCUGGAAACCGAAAAUCACUAAAGACAGGUCCUCCAGCACCAUGAUGACAGAGCUUGCUGGGUCAUCACAAUAACAAGGCGACUUCACCUGCAGCCCUGCAUUGGUUUCAGAUAUUAAAAUAAUAUAAUCCUCA